rfam:Corchorus olitorius cultivar O-4 contig16513, whole genome shotgun sequence.
AGAAACCAACGUAGCCAAGGACAGACUUGCCGGAAAGUAUACAAUGAUCAGUAUCUGGCUACCCCGGCAGGGUUACCGGCCGGCAAGUCAUCCUUGGCUGCACUAAAUUCUCU